CAUGGGCCCUCAAGCCAUUCAUGUUAUCAUUCAAAUCAUGAAUGUUAUGAAGGUCCACGGC
ncrna:Panagrellus redivivus microRNA prd-mir-7939f precursor